ACGGGUGGUAAUGCCGGAUGCUCCAUCACACUGCAUGGUGUGUUGGGAAAGCCUUUGCGGCAUGGGAUGGGGUCGCGUCCUAUCAGCUUGAUGGCGGGGUAACGGCCCACCAUGGCUUCGACGGGUAGCCGGCCUGAGAGGGCGACCGGCCACAUUGGGACUGAGAUACGGCCCAGACUCCUACGGGAGGCAGCAGUGGGGAAUAUUGCACAAUGGGCGCAAGCCUGAUGCAGCGACGCCGCGUGAGGGAUGGAGGCCUUCGGGUUGUAAACCUCUUUUGUUAGGGAGCAAGGCACUUUGUGUUGAGUGUACCUUUCGAAUAAGCACCGGCUAACUACGUGCCAGCAGCCGCGGUAAUACGUAGGGUGCAAGCGUUAUCCGGAAUUAUUGGGCGUAAAGGGCUCGUAGGCGGUUCGUCGCGUCCGGUGUGAAAGUCCAUCGCUUAACGGUGGAUCCGCGCCGGGUACGGGCGGGCUUGAGUGCGGUAGGGGAGACUGGAAUUCCCGGUGUAACGGUGGAAUGUG
rnacentral:rRNA from 1 species